CCUUGCUCGGCAGUGGUGAGAUGAGAGUUGGAGCAGGGGACGCGAGGCGGUGCACUCCUGGCAUGGCAUCCACGUCUGGUCCACAUCCACAACUCUGCAGGUCUACCAUCAACAGGCGGAGUUUUCCCAGAUGUGACUGACUGCAGCGGAGAUGAUGAUGCAGAGGCUUUGAAGGAAGGUGAAGUUUCCAUUCAAUGUGAUAUCCCCUGCUAAGGGUGUUGUGGCUGCCGCUGCUGCCCCCAUCCACCCAUGAAUUCCUGCAAGCCAACUGUCACUCAUAAGACUGUUAUGACUGCUGCUGCCUAGAUGGAUUAUUGUUGAACCACUGCUCCUGAGGCCUUGUUUCAGCUGGACGGAAGGUACAAGAUCAUCAGUCACUGGCCAAGUGCAACAAAAUUGUGACCACAAAAAAAAAACCCACUGAGGUGUCAGUCCCCCAUACAGUCAAAAAAAGUUAGUCAAAAAUUACAGGACAAGUGUCUUGAAACCUCCACCUCCCUCUUGAAAGAGUUCAGUUAUAAGGUGGAAAUGUACAAGCAGGCAGGGAGUUCCAGAGUUUGCCAAAGAAAGGAAUGCAUGAUUGGGAAUAAACUAGCUAGUUAACUAUAUUGCAUUAAAGAGGUGGACAGAACAGGAGUGAGAGGAAGUAGUCUUGUGCAGCAAUGCCACAGGGAGGAGAGGCAUGCAGCUAGCAAGAUAAGAAGAGCAGUUGGCAUGAAAAUAGUGGUAGAAGAUGACAAGAGAUGCAACAUGGUGGCAAUGAGAAAGAGGCUGAAGACA